AUUGAACGCUGGCGGCAUGCCUUACACAUGCAAGUCGAACGGCAGCACGGGAGCUUGGCUCCUGGUGGCGAGUGGCGAACGGGUGAGUAAUACAUCGGAACGUACCCUGAAGUGGGGAUAACGUAGCGAAAGUUACGCUAAUACCGCAUAUUCUGUGAGCAGGAAAGAGGGGGAUCGCAAGACCUCUUGCUUUAGGAGCGGCCGAUGUCGGAUUAGCUAGUUGGUGAGGUAAAGGCUCACCAAGGCGACGAUCCGUAGCGGGUCUGAGAGGAUGAUCCGCCACACUGGGACUGAGACACGGCCCCAGACUCCUACGGGAGGCAGCAGUGGGGAAUUUUGGACAAUGGGCGCAAGCCUGAUCCAGCCAUGCCGCGUGAGUGAAGAAGGCC
rnacentral:rRNA from 1 species